GACGAACGCUGGCGGCGUGCUUAACACAUGCAAGUCGAACGGAAAGGCCCUGCUUUUGUGGGGUGCUCGAGUGGCGAACGGGUGAGUAACACGUGAGUAACCUGCCCUUGACUUUGGGAUAACUUCAGGAAACUGGGGCUAAUACCGGAUAGGAGCUCCUGCUGCAUGGUGGGGGUUGGAAAGUUUCGGCGGUUGGGGAUGGACUCGCGGCUUAUGAGCUUGUUGGUGGGGUAGUGGCUUACCAAGGCUUUGACGGGUAGCCGGCCUGUGAGGGUGACCGGCGACAUUGGGACUGAGAUAGGGCCCAGACGGCUACGGGAGGCAGCAGUGGGGAAUAUUGCACAAUGGGCGGAAGCCUGAUGCAGCAACGCCGCGUGCGGGAUGACGGCCUUCGGGUUGUAAACCGCUUUCGCCUGUGACGAAGCGUGAGUGACGGUAAUGGGUAAAGAAGCACCGGCUAACUACGUG
rnacentral:rRNA from 1 species